rnacentral:rRNA from 1 species
CGCGGGUGAGGAUAAGGUUUCGGAUCGUAAAAUCUGUGUUAGGAAGACAAGUAGAUAGUACUGAUCGUACUUGACGGACCUACCAGAAACCACGGUAACUACGGCCAGCAGCCGCGGUAUACGUAGGGGCAAGCGUGUCCGGAAUUAUUGGCGUAAAGCGCUCGCAGGCGGUCCUUAAGUCUGAUGGAAAUCUCGCGGCUCAACCGCGAACGGUCAUUGGAAACUGGAGGACUUGAGUACAGAAGAGGAGAGUGGAAUUCCACGUGUAGCGGUGAAAUGCGUAGAGAUGUGGAGGAACACCAGUGGCGAAGGCGACUCUCUGGUCUGUAACUGACGCUGAGGAGCGAAAGCGUGGGGAGCGAACAGGAUUAGAUACCCUGGUAGUCCACGCCGUAAACGAUGAGUGCUAGGUGUUAGGGGGUUUCCGCCCCUUAGUGCUGAAGUUAACGCAUUAAGCACUCCGCCUGGGGAGUACGGCCGCAAGGCUGAAACUCAAAAGAAUUGACGGGGGCCCGCACAAGCGGUGGAGCAUGUGGUUUAAUUCGAAGCAACGCGAAGAACCUUACCAGGUCUUGACAUCCUCUGCCAUUCCUAGAGAUAGGAAGUUCCCUUCGGGGACAGAGUGACAGGUGGUGCAUGGUUGUCGUCAGCUCGUGUCGUGAGAUGUUGGGUUAAGUCCCGCAACGAGCGCAACCCUUGAUCUUAGUUGCCAGCAUUUAGUUGGGCACUCUAAGGUGACUGCCGGUGACAAACCGGAGGAAGGUGGGGAUGACGUCAAAUCAUCAUGCCCCUUAUGACCUGGGCUACACACGUGCUACAAUGGAUGGAACAAAGGGAAGCAAAACCGCGAGGUCAAGCAAAUCCCAUAAAACCAUUCUCAGUUCGGAUUGCAGGCUGCAACUCGCCUGCAUGAAGCCGGAAUCGCUAGUAAUCGCGGAUCA